rnacentral:piRNA from 1 species
AAGAGAAAUUCUGGAAUGUUUUGAGUUGA